AUGUAUGAAGUUCAGAUUUAUCUGCAGGUGCAAAACACUAGUGUUUUUGGUCCAUUGUUUCAGUUUCACAAGCCGCAACCCAUGCGCCGCCCCCAACCCGCCCCAACCGACGAUGCCGCUGCCGUCCCGCCCCAAACCGGCAACGCCGCCGUAGCCCCGCCCCAACCGAGCGCCGCCCCUGCUCCUUCAGGCGAUGCGCCCUGUUUCGCAUGCCUUGUUCCACUGUCCACCGGCUCCGUCCGUCGUCCUUUCUCUCAACUUCUUCUCCGUCGGCAGGGACGAGCAGGGAGCUGUCAUCCAUGUCGUCCUCAACCACCUUGCAAGAAACAGUAA
rnacentral:rRNA from 1 species